GACGAACGCUGGCGGCGUGCUUAACACAUGCAAGUCGAACGGAAAGGCCCUGCUUUUGUGGGGUGCUCGAGUGGCGAACGGGUGAGUAACACGUGAGUAACCUGCCCUUGACUUUGGGAUAACUUCAGGAAACUGGGGCUAAUACCGGAUAGGAGCUCCUGCUGCAUGGUGGGGGUUGGAAAGUUUCGGCGGUUGGGGAUGGACUCGCGGCUUAUCAGCUUGUUGGUGGGGUAGUGGCUUACCAAGGCUUUGACGGGUAGCCGGCCUGAGAGGGUGACCGGCCACAUUGGGACUGAGAUACGGCCCAGACGCCUACGGGAGGCAGCAGUGGGGAAUAUUGCACAGUGGGCGGAAGCCUGAGGCAGCAACGCCGCGUGCGGGAUGACGGCCUUCGGGUUGUAAACCGCUUUCGCCUGUGACGAAGCGUGAGUGACGGUAAUGGGUAAAGAAGCACCGGCUAACUACGUG
rnacentral:rRNA from 1 species